CGGGACACGUGGUAUCCUGUCUGAAUAUGGGGGGACCAUCCUCCAAGGCUAAAUACUCCUGACUGACCGAUAGUGAACCAGUACCGUGAGGGAAAGGCGAAAAGAACCCCGGCGAGGGGAGUGAAAAAGAACCUGAAACCGUGUACGUACAAGCAGUGGGAGCACGCUUAGGCGUGUGACUGCGUACCUUUUGUAUAAUGGGUCAGCGACUUAUAUUCUGUAGCAAGGUUAACCGAAUAGGGGAGCCGAAGGGAAACCGAGUCUUAACUGGGCGUUAAGUUGCAGGGUAUAGACCCGAAACCCGGUGAUCUAGCCAUGGGCAGGUUGAAGGUUGGGUAACACUAACUGGAGGACCGAACCGACUAAUGUUGAAAAAUUAGCGGAUGACUUGUGGCUGGGGGUGAAAGGCCAAUCAAACCGGGAGAUAGCUGGUUCUCCCCGAAAGCUAUUUAGGUAGCGCCUCGUGAAUUCAUCUCCGGGGGUAGAGCACUGUUUCGGCAAGGGGGUCAUCCCGACUUACCAACCCGAUGCAAACUGCGAAUACCGGAGAAUGUUAUCACGGGAGACACACGGCGGGUGCUAACGUCCGUCGUGAAGAGGGAAACAACCCAGACCGCCAGCUAAGGUCCCAAAGUCAUGGUUAAGUGGGAAACGAUGUGGGAAGGCCCAGACAGCCAGGAUGUUGGCUUAGAAGCAGCCAUCAUUUAAAGAAAGCGUAAUAGCUCACUGGUCGAGUCGGCCUGCGCGGAAGAUGUAACGGGGCUAAACCAUGCACCGAAGCUGCGGCAGCGACGCUUAUGCGUUGUUGGGUAGGGGAGCGUUCUGUAAGCCUGUGAAGGUGUACUGUGAGGUAUGCUGGAGGUAUCAGAAGUGCGAAUGCUGACAUAAGUAACGAUAAAGCGGGUGAAAAGCCCGCUCGCCGGAAGACCAAGGGUUCCUGUCCAACGUUAAUCGGGGCAGGGUGAGUCGACCCCUAAGGCGAGGCCGAAAGGCGUAGUCGAUGGGAAACAGGUUAAUAUUCCUGUACUUGGUGUUACUGCGAAGGGGGGACGGAGAAGGCUAUGUUGGCCGGGCGACGGUUGUCCCGGUUUAAGCGUGUAGGCUGGUUUUCCAGGCAAAUCCGGAAAAUCAAGGCUGAGGCGUGAUGACGAGGCACUACGGUGCUGAAGCAACAAAUGCCCUGCUUCCAGGAAAAGCCUCUAAGCAUCAGGUAACAUCAAAUCGUACCCCAAACCGACACAGGUGGUCAGGUAGAGAAUACCAAGGCGCUUGAGAGAACUCGGGUGAAGGAACUAGGCAAAAUGGUGCCGUAACUUCGGGAGAAGGCACGCUGAUAUGUAGGUGAAGUCCCUCGCGGAUGGAGCUGAAAUCAGUCGAAGAUACCAGCUGGCUGCAACUGUUUAUUAAAAACACAGCACUGUGCAAACACGAAAGUGGACGUAUACGGUGUGACGCCUGCCCGGUGCCGGAAGGUUAAUUGAUGGGGU
rnacentral:rRNA from 1 species